UACGUAGGGCGCGAGCGUUGUCCGGAUUUAUUGGGCGUAAAGAGCUCGUAGGCGGCUUGUCGCGUCGUCUGUGAAAUCCCGCGGCUCAACUGCGGGCUGGCAGUCAAUACGGGCAGGCUGGAGUUCGGUAGGGGAGACUGGAAUUCCUGGUGUAGCGGUGAAAUGCGCAGAUAUCAGGAGGAACACCGGUGGCGAAGGCGGGUCUCUGGGCCGAUACUGACGCUGAGGAGCGAAAGCGUGGGGAGCGAACAGG
rnacentral:rRNA from 1 species